rnacentral:lncRNA from 1 species
UCCAUUCCUGAUGUCUUGAGCAUAUUGUUUGUAGAACUGCUCUGCAACUUGAAUGUCGACUUAUAUUCAUCAAGAGCUUCAUAUUUCCUUGAAACACUCUUCCAAAAGUAACAACGUGGAAAGAGUUUUUAGUUUCCGUUUUCUUUAAUGAUAUAUAGGUUUCUUCUGUCUUUUGAUCUUAUUAGGAGAAGGAAAAUUCCUCAAUCUUACACCUGCAGUAGUACUUAUGCAAAUUUGAUGGUAGAAGUGUGACUUUAUUAUUAGUAAUUUGUUUUUGGAUUGCAAUUUUCUUCCUAUUACAGAGGAUUGCUUAUGCCUUUGUCAUUUUGAUUUUAUUAGGCAACUGUUAAUCAUGAGCUCUAGUACGUGGAAGAAUACGAUGUCUUGGCUCUUGCAUUAAAUGAAAGAAUGGAACCUCAAAAAUUCCAACUUGGCUGCCUUAAAACAUGAAGCUUCAAAAGUCUGAAAAAUACUAUUACAGACCUAAUUCGUCAUUGCAAGGCUGCAUGUCAUUUCACCAUGGUUACCACUUUCAGAUGAGUUCAAAUUCCAGUAUGUGACAUAACACAUUUAGAUUGCGUAGUCCGAUGUGUAAUUGCUUAUGUGACUUUAUUUUGAUUGUUUGACAUUAUUUGACUUGCCUACGUGGCAAGACAUAUUUGUAUUUUGUUUUGAGUUCGAUAUGAAAUAACCACUUGGCCAC